UGUGUGAUGACCUUAAAUCAAAUAUCUAGCUCUCUUCUACAAUAAAAAGGCAUAGACCUGAAAAAAUGUGUGUGAAUAUUCAUUAUCCAAUAUGAUUUAGACAUGGCACUGUGUUGAAACACAGCCAUUCAGACUCCGCAAGACAAUAAGCAAACAAAAGAGUUGGUCAUUAAAGGUACCGAUAGUUUGAUGAACAGAUCAGAUAUUAACAGUGAAAAGCAUUAUACAUUGGGUAUGCACAUCAUUCCCAAAAGAUAGAAGUGGCACUAAAAUAGUUUUCCUGUUCUAUCCUCCUUAUCAUUUCCUAUGAAUAUGAGAUAAGUGUGAUUCCUAUAAUCCAUUUUUCUUACCUUUGAAAGGUUUGAAAAUAACAGAAUGAGAUUAGAGAAGUCAAUGUUUCCCUUUGUAAAAAGCUAAUGGAGACAAAAUCUUAGUCAUUGUGUAUAAAUACUAUAUUUGACCAGACCUGUACAAACCCUUUUGUUCCUCAGUAAUGGAACAACACAUAGAAGGAAAGGUUUCCACAGCCAACUGGCUCAUUUGUGUGAUCUGAACUCUUCAUGUAAUACAGAAUGCAUUUCUUCUUUCUUCAGUUUUUAUCAUCUGUCAGUGAGAAGAGAGCUAAAGACAGCUGUAGAGGCAGACAUAACGAUAUGCCCUGGCAGAGGAACGAGGGGGUACAAUUAGGUAGGGCUCUGAAGCUGUUAGUAGAGGCAGCAAGGCAAAUUAGUGGUGUGUGAAAAGAUGAUACAUUAUUCCUUACUGAAUGGUGCAGCAAUUAUUUUCUCUCUCUUCAUGGCAGGUCUUUUUGUGUGCUUGUGUGUUUUUUUUCUUCUUUAAUUUGCCAUAGUAUUAAUUGAGUGAAAGCUCUGUCAAAGUUACACCUAAUAGGUCUGGUGCAGUUCUGUCUUAUAUUUCACAGACGAAAAUAUGCUUGCGUUCAUGUGCAGUCUCUCUGAGGUAUCCAGGAUCAGUGUCCAGGUCUCUAGUACAGGAAUAGGAGGUGCUGCCCCAACUGGACACUUCUGGGCUUACCACUGUCACAUGGAUUCUAGAGCUCACAUAUGGAUGUGCUGCAGAGCUACAACUUCCACAUUUCUUACUCAAGCAAGAAAAUAGAACUGGAGACCUUCUCCUCCCUCAGUAAUCAAAAUAGGUAAGUCUUGUUUUAUCCGUAAGGAAUUUGCAGAGUGCAAACUCAUCCUCCUGUAAAAGCCUGAGAGUCAUUUUAAUUCUCCUAUCAAAAGAAUCAACAUAUAAUCUUGUUCCAACUCAGCUCAGACAGAACUUAGUGGUAGCAUGCUCAUUUCUGUACAGCAUAUUGGGUUACUUCUGGUAAUAAAU
rnacentral:lncRNA from 1 species